GGAUAUGGGGAAAAUCUAGCUGCCAUAUCAGUGUCAUUCUAUGAUCUUCAGAUUAUUUCAUUGCUGUAGCUGGCCAGAUAGAUAACCCCUCUCUGCUUCACCUCUCUAUGUGUGCCCCUUCCAAACUGUACCUUUCUGAAGUAGAAGAGGACAUUUCUUUAGGUAAAAAUAUUCAAGUGCUGAGCUUCCAUUAGAAUUUCCAAAGAACUGAAGAUGGCUGAAGAGUAGGGUCCCCAAGUCACCUGUCCCCACCAACUUACCUAGAUAACGUU
rnacentral:snRNA from 1 species